rnacentral:hammerhead_ribozyme from 2 species
AAGCGAAACCGGCCGCCACGGCGGUCGGUCUGCCUGGCGCGGUGGCUAGGCACUGAUGAGCAGCCAAAA